GGGCACAUGGUGUAGUUGGUUAUCACGCCCGCUUAGCAUUUGAAUCUGCCAAGAUUUGAAUCACUGCGGGCGGUGCCCGGUUCAAUUCCGGGUGUGUCCA